rnacentral:rRNA from 1 species
GAUGAACGCUAGCUACAGGCUUAACACAUGCAAGUCGAGGGGCAGCAUGACGAUAGCUUGCUAUCGUUGAUGGCGACCGGCGCACGGGUGAGUAACGCGUAUCCAACCUGCCCUUGUCCGCCGGAUAACCCGUCGAAAGGCGGACUAACACGGUAUGCAGUCCACAGCAGACAUCUAACGUGGACGAAAUGUGAAGGAGAAGGAUGGGGAUGCGUCUGAUUAGCUUGUUGGCGGGGUAACGGCCCACCAAGGCGACGAUCAGUAGGGGUUCUGAGAGGAAGGUCCCCCACAUUGGAACUGAGACACGGUCCAAACUCCUACGGGAGGCAGCAGUGAGGAAUAUUGGUCAAUGGGCGAGAGCCUGAACCAGCCAAGUAGCGUGCAGGAAGACGGCCCUAUGGGUUGUAAACUGCUUUUAUACGGGGAUAAAGUGAGACACGUGUGGCUUAUUGCAGGUACCGUAUGAAUAAGGACCGGCUAAUUCCGUGCCAGCCGCCGCCGUAA